rnacentral:rRNA from 1 species
UACGGGGGGGGUAAGCGUUGUUCGGAAUUACUGGGCGUAAAGGGUUUGUAGGUGGCUUGCUAAGUCAGACGUGAAAUCCCUCAGCUUAACUGGGGAACUGCGUCUGAGACUGGCGAGCUUGAGUGCGGGAGAGGAACGCGGAAUUCCAGGUGUAGCGGUGAAAUGCGUAGAUAUCUGGAGGAACACCGGUGGCGAAGGCGGCGUUCUGGACUGCAACUGACACUGAGAAACGAAAGCCAGGGGAGCAAACGGG